rnacentral:tRNA from 1 species
UCAUAUUAGUUUCAUUCGGGUUGCUAACUCAAUGGUAUAGAUUAUCUACUCCAUCCGACUAGUUCCGGGUUCG